GUUUGUGGGUAAACUCUGACCACGAAUUUCGUAGCUUCCACUGCGAGUGUAAUCAACUCAAUCGUACUGGUUUGAUAAUGAGUAUCAAUAGUAAGCGUAAAAUGGAAUUGACAAGAGCAUUGGCAACGGCUA